GGAAGUCCACAGGGAAGAACAUUGAGAAAGGGAAGACCCUGGAGUUGGAGAAAUUUGUAGAAAACUUGAACGAACAACUAUCUUCUGUCCGCAGCGAGUCCAAUGCUAAAGAUGAUCUUUUGGCAAAGCAAGCAAAAGUAGCUGAGGAAGCAAUUUCAGGAUGGGAAAAAGCAGAAGCUCGAGCUCUGGCUUUACAGAAACAAUUGGAUGAUGCCUUGCUUCAGAA